CUCAGCCCUCUGUGCCUCCAGGCACAGUUUGGAGUUGUGGCUGCCUUGGAGAAACCGUGUCUAUUUGUGGAAUGGCCAUCACUGUGAGUACCUUGCCUGAUUGGUAAAACCCAAACCUACCUGUUAAGAUACUUUUUCAAACAGUUGUUCCCCAAAAGAGGAGAAUUCAGGCUAGACCAUUGGAACAUACUCUACAUGGGGCUGCCCCUGAAGACCAUUUGAAAAUUUCAACUGAUGCAGAAUGUGGCUGCAUGCAUAGUAAAUAGUGCCAGAUGUACAGAACACGUAACAACACUUCUGCAUGAACUACAUUGGUUACCAGAAUGUUUCCGGAUGCAAUUUAAGUUACUGGUAUAAAAUCCUGCAUGGCUCGAGAGUGCGGUACCUGAGGGCUCAGCUUUUUUCCAAGAGUCUCUACCUGUCCAACUAGGUGGAGCAUAGUAGGCAUGCUGCAGAUCCUGUCAGGCAGAGUGCCAGCUAAUGGAGACCAUAAGACAAGCUUUUUUUUUCUGCAGUGAUUCCUGCUCUAAGGAACAUCUUCCCUUCGGAGAUCAGAAUGCCCCCAAUUUUGCUAGCCUUUCAUAAGGUCCUAAAAAUCUGUCUAUGUUCCCAUGCCUGGGAUCCCGAGUGCAUUAAGGAUCCCGUUUCCCGACUGUAUUGCUAACCGGCCAAGCAUCUUGUUCCUAUGUGCAUUUAAUCUUUUUAGCAUUUUUAAUUGCCUUUAAAAAAAAUUGUAAGCCACCCAGUCAUUGACUGAGAUGGGUGGCUAGAGAAAUUGAAUUAAUAAAUAAAUACUGAGUCAUCAAAA